CCCCCCUCUAAUCAGUGAAACUGAUCUCCCCGUGAAGAAGCGGGGAUAUUUAUAUAAGACGAGAAGACCCCAUGGAGCUUUAAACCCGACAGCACCCGCCUAGCCCACGCCCCUCUAUUGACCCGGCCCCUGUCUGCUCGGUUUUAGGUUGGGGUGACCACGGAGUAUAAAAUAACCUCCACGAAGAAAGGAGUAAUAAUCCUCAUCUAAGAGCCACACCUCUAAGAGCUAAUACAUUAACUUUUAAUGAUCCGAUAUUUGAUCAACGAACCAAGUUACCCUGGGGAUAACAGCGCAAUCCGCCUCAAGAGCUCCUAUCGACAGGUGGGUUUACGACCUCGAUGUUGGAUCAGGGUAUCCCAGUGGUGCAGCAGCUACCAAAGGUUCGUUUGUUCAACGAUUAAAACCCU
rnacentral:rRNA from 1 species